rnacentral:lncRNA from 1 species
CUACAUGUCAUAAAAAAAUUAUCUUAAAUUGAUAUUAAAUCAAUAAAGAUCUGGUUGAGUAAUUAAGGCAACGCAUUAAGAUAAGAGUCUUCACGAAGAAGGACUCUUCAUCUUCACAUGCUAAAAUGAGUAGGGCGGCAAUUAAUUUUUAGCAUGGCAUCUAGUGGGCACAGAGGAGUCCUUCUCCACUUGAAAUUGUUUCAAGUUGGAUAGAAAACCAAUUAAGAUAAACCCAAUCCCAUU